GGACUACAAGGGUAUCUAAUCCCGUUUGCUCCCCUAGCUUUCGCGCCUCAGCGUCAGUCGCAGGCCAGGACGCCGCCUUCGCCACUGGUGUUCCUCCGGGUCUCUACGCAUUUCACCGCUACUCCCGGAGUUCCACGUCCCUCUCCUGCACUCGCAAGUCCUGCCGUUACCCAUGACCCUCCCCAGUUGAGCCGGGGGCUUUCACACAGGUCGUACAGAACCGCCUACGCGCUCUUUACGCCCAGUAAUUCCGGACAACGCUCGCCUCCUACGUAUUACCGCGGCUGCUGGCAC
rnacentral:rRNA from 1 species